CCUGGGAGGCUGCAGUGGGGAAUAUUGGACAAUGGGCGAAAGCCUGAUCCAGCCAUGCCGCGUGUGUGAAGAAGGCCUUCGGGUUGUAAAGCACUUUCAGUGGGGAAGAAAGCCUUGGGGCUAAUACCCUCGAGGAAGGACAUCACCCACAGAAGAAGCACCGGCUAACUCCGUGCCAGCAGCCGCGGUAAUACGGAGGGUGCGAGCGUUAAUCGGAAUUACUGGGCGUAAAGCGCGCGUAGGCGGUCUGAUAAGCCGGUUGUGAAAGCCCCGGGCUCAACCUGGGAACGGCAUCCGGAACUGUCAGGCUAGAGUGCAGGAGAGGAAGGUAGAAUUCCCGGUGUAGCGGUGAAAUGCGUAGAGAUCGGGAGGAAUACCAGUGGCGAAGGCGGCCUUCUGGACUGACACUGACGCUGAGGUGCGAAAGCGUGGGUAGCAAACAGGAUUAGAUACCCGAGUAGUC
rnacentral:rRNA from 1 species